rnacentral:rRNA from 1 species
UACAGAGGGGGCAGGCGUUGUUCGGAAUUACUGGGCGUAAAGGGCGCGUAGGCGGCCUUCUAAGUCAGACGUGAAAUCCCUCGGCUCAACCGGGGAACUGCGUCUGAGACUGGAAGGCUUGAAUCCGGGAGAGGGAUGUGGAAUUCCAGGUGUAGCGGUGAAAUGCGUAGAUAUCUGGAGGAACACCGGUGGCGAAGGCGGCAUCCUGGACCGGUAUUGACGCUGAGGCGCGAAAGCCAGGGGAGCAAACGGG